GGGAGGGGGAUCUCUGUGCUCCCUCCGCUGUGAGGGGACCGGAGUGGUGCCACAGUGUCACUCUGUGCUUGGGGACAUCGAUGGCCCUGUGUCCCCAGGGGCUACCGGGGGGUCCCUGCCCCCAGGAAUGGAGGGGAGGGGGUGGCACUGCUGUCUGUGUGGCUCCAGAGUGUCUUCAGCUGGGGACAGCUUGGGGACAAUUUGGGGACAGCAAGAUGGAGGCAGCGUGGGGACAAUUUGGGGGCAAUGUGGGGACAAUUUGGGGACAAUUUGGGGACAACAUGGGGGCAAGUUUUGGGCCACUUGGUGACAGCAUGGGGACAAUUUGGGGACAGAGAGAUGGAGGCAAGAUGGGGACAGCUUGGGGACAGUGUGGGGACCGUUUGGGGGGCAAUAUGGGGACAACAUGGGGACAAGUUUUGGGGCACCUUGGUGACAGCGUGGGGACAAUUUGGGGACAACUUUGAGGACAGCAAGAUGGAGGCAACAUGGGGACGCUUGGGGACAGCGUGGGGACGACUUUGGGGGCAACGUGGGGACAAGUUUGGGGCCACUUGGUGACAGCAUGGGGACAAUUUGGGGACUGGGGACAAUUUGGAGACAGAAAGAUGGAGGCCACAUGGGCACAGCUUGGGGACAGCGUGGGGACAAUUUGGGGGGCAACAUGGGGACAAGUUUUGGGGACAAGUUUUGGGCCACUUGGCGACAGCAUGGGGACAAUUUGGCAGCAAGAUGGAGGCAGCAUGGGGACACUUGGGGACAGCGUGGGGACAAUUCUGGGCACAAUGUGGGGACAAUUUGGGGACAGCCGGGGGACAACAUGGGGACAAGUUUUGGGCCACUUGGCGACAGCAUGGGGACAAUUUGGGGACAGCAAGAUGGAGGCCACAUGGGGACAGUUUGGGGACAGCUUGGGGACCACUUUGGGGGCAACAUGGGGACAAGUUGGGGACAGUGUGGGGCCACUUGGCGACAGUGUGGGGACAAUUUGGGGACAGUUUGGGGGCAACAUGGGGACAAGUUUGGGGCCACUUGGUGACAGCGUGGGGACAAUUUGAGGGCAAUAUGGGGACAAUUUGGAGACAGCUGGGGGGACAACGUGGGGACAAGUUUGGGGCCACUUGGUGACAGCAUGGGGACAAUUUGGGGACAGUAAGAUGGAGGCAACAUGGGGACACUUGGGGACAGCGUGGGGACAAUAUUGGGGGCAAUGUUGGGACAAUUUGGGGACAGAUGUGGUGACAACAUCGGGAUAAGUUUUGGGCCACUUGGCGACAGCAUGGGGACAAUUUGGGGACAGAAAGAUGGAGGCCACAUGGGGACAGCUUGGGAACAGCAUGGGGACCACUUUUGGGGGCAAUAUGGGGACAAUUUGGGGACAGCUGGGGGGACAACAUAGGGACAAGUUUCGGGCCACUUGGCAGCAGCGUGGGGACAAUUUGGGGACAGCAUGGGGACAGUUUGGGGACAAUUUGGGGACAGCAAGAUGGAGGCAACAUGGGCACAACUUGGGGACAGCGUGGGGACCACUUUGGGGGCAACAUGGGGACAAGUUUUGGGGACAAGUUUGGGGCCACUUGGCGACAGUGUGGGGACAAUUUGGGGACAAUUUGGGGGACAUCCUGUGGGCACAAAGCUCAGCGCACGAUGUUGCACAGCGUUGCACGGCGCUGCUCAGCUGACCGUGCACAGCUUUGCACAAUCCUCGCGCGUGUGCAAGGCUCCAGCAGCGGCUGUGGCUGCUGAGAAACCACAGGAAAGCGGCGACAGCGCAGAGCUGUGCAGGGAGAGGAGGAAACUGCAAAGUGCUGAGCAGCUCCCUGCACUGAGCGCCGUGCAAAGCUGUGCAGCAUGAGUUGAGCAGCAUCGUGCAACGCUGUGCAGCAUCGUGCACUGAGCAUUGUGCAAAGCUGUGCACUUUGAGCUGAGCAGCAGUGUGCAAAGCUGUGCAGCAUCGUGCACUGAGCGUUGUGCAAAGCUGUGCACUGAGCAUUGAGCAACAUCAUGCACUGAGCAUUGUGCAAAGCUGUGCAGAACUGUGCACUGAGCAUUGUGCAA
ensembl:lncRNA